AUUACACUACUGGGAAGAACACAUUAUCAGGAGGCUACAGCGGUCUUGUGUACCCAGGAACUUGAGUGUCGAUAAUUAAUAACAACUCUUGCCUUCAGGGAGGGUAUGAGUGAGAGGGGGUCUCCUGUGGGGCUCCCAAAUAAGGACAUUGUUGGAAUUGCUGCUUCAGAGCUCUAACUGAUUGUCUUUGAGCUGCUUUCCAUUUAUCCGCACACAUCGGUUAAUAAGUAAAAUUGUUUGGACUUGCUGUUUGCUGCUUAAACGUUGGAAUUUCCUGCAGGUUUGACUUGGGGUCUCAGCAAAACCUUCAAUUUGACGUAAUGAACAGGAUGCUGCAAGACACAGUCUGGAGGAAGCUACUCCAACCUGAAGUGGAGGGACAGGGAAUGGGUACACGGUUGAGGAGUGUGGGCCAGUCUGUCACUGGUCUGGUCUAUUUUAACAGCAGGUAUCAAUCCGGAAACCUCCGUGAAACUGGAACAGACAGCCCAUUGACUGGGAGUGGGUCAGUCCAUCAUUCAGACGCAAUCAGAGCACUGAACUCCCUCUAGAACAGACAUCCAAAUGUGAAUGCUUUACUACUUGUGAACAUGAAUAAAGGU